GACGAACGCUGGCGGCGUGCUUAACACAUGCAAGUCGAGCGGUAAGGCCCUUUCGGGGGUACGACGAGCGGCGAACGGGUGAGUAACACGUGGGUGACCUGCCCUCAGCUCUGGGAUAAGCCUGGGAAACCGGGGUCUAAUACUGGAUAUGACUCCAUGACGCAUGUUGUGGGGUGGAAAGCCUUGUGCGGCUGAGGAUGGGCCCGCGGCCUAUCAGCUUGUUGGUGGGGUGAGGCCUACCAAGGCGACGACGGGUAGCCGGCCUGAGAGGGCGACCGGCCACACUGGGACUGAGACACGGCCCAGACUCCUACGGGGAGGCAGCAGGUGGGGAAUCUUGCGCAAUAGGCGAAAGCCUGACGCAGCAACG
rnacentral:rRNA from 1 species